rnacentral:rRNA from 1 species
AACGAACGCUGGCGGCAGGCUUAACACAUGCAAGUCGAACGCCCCGCAAGGGGAGUGGCAGACGGGUGAGUAACGCGUGGGAAUGUGCCCAAAGGUUCGGAACAACUCCGGGAAACUGGAGCUAAUACCGAAUGUGACCGAGAGGUGAAAGAUUUAUCGCCUUUGGAUCAGCCCGCGUCAGAUUAGCUAGUUGGUGGGGUAAUGGCCUACCAAGGCGACGAUCUGUAGCUGGUCUGAGAGGACGACCAGCCACACUGGGACUGAGACACGGCCCAGACUCCUACGGGAGGCAGCAGUGGGGAAUCUUGGACAAUGGGGGCAACCCUGAUCCAGCCAUGCCGCGUGAGUGAAGAAGGCCUU